ACAGCGAGUUUGGGACUCUCUGGGGUCCUUUCUUGAGGUAAGCCGAUUUAUCUUUUCCUUCCUUUCGCUUCUUCACUUAGUUCAUUCCUUAGCUUUCAUAUUGAUUUCCUGGCCGCUCUUGCAGAUUGGACACCAGCUCAUCACCAACAUCGAGAUGAUGAACAAGGCAAAGAAGGAAGCAGCCCAGGCGGAGGAAGGUCGCCAGGCAGAGGCUGCCCG
rnacentral:lncRNA from 1 species